ensembl:lncRNA
GUAAUUAAAAACAUUUUGAUUUCAAAACAUUCUUUUAGCUAGCUUCGGUUGUGUAGUGGAUGACUUAAACAAGAGAAAAAAAUGACAGUCCCCAGAGUGCAGUACUUUCUUUAUACAACUAUAGGGAGUAAAAGACUUAAUACUGGACAGUUAUCACAGUACAGACAUGUGACCAAGUCAUUGUUCAUGGAUUAAAAAUGACAUUUAUGGAAUAUAAAUGACAAAGUUGUUUAUAGUGUGCUUGAAAUUUUGAAGAAAAGUAGGCUGCCACUGUAUAACAUGAAGUCUCAUGUUUAACAUGAUUAACGUUUUGUCAGAAUUAGGCCUAAUGGAUAGAGAGUCAGACUUGUAACCCAAAGGUUGUGGAUUCGAAUCCCAGGUCCGACAGGGAUUGUAGGUGGGGGGAGUGAAUGUACAGCACUCUCUUCCACCCACAAUACCACGACUUUCAGAGUGUGACACAUCUGUUCUCAUGAGGAAGUUGUUGAUAAGCCGACCAAUCAGUGACCUGCCAAUUGUGUGUCACAGAGGGAAAGCCCUGGUCUCCGGAGACUCGAAUUGCCUCGUUGUUUGUAACACGUCCUGCUGUCAGUCAGUGAGGUCUUGAGGGUCAUGAGGAGGAAUGGCUUGUGAGACGCUGACUGAUCACUCAAAUCCCUGCAUCACAGAUGACCAACCAUACUAGGCUUAACAGUAUUUCCAGAUGUUCCUGCAGUAAUGCUGCCAUCAGACUGGAGCAGGAGGAAAGGGACAAUGUUUGUUUUCAGGUGAUUUUUCUCCCCUGUAUUUACACAGAUUUCUUUAGUUUCCAAACUUAAGUAUCACCCAUGAAAAUAGUGUAAAUCCUAGGAAACAUUACCAUUUUUUUUUCAAAUAUUAUUUGAAUGUUUUAACUACCAUAACAUCUUCCUACAUUUGUAAAGUGAUUUGUAAGGUAUCGAAGCAGUUUUCAACCAAAAAUAAAAGUGCUACAGUUUUACAUACAAGACCAAAGAAAUUAAACAUUUGUAUUAGUAAAUAUUAAUAUUUUUCUGUAAAGUAAAAUUAAAGCAUGAAAUGAAUGAAUAAAGAAAUAAAAUGGUAUAUAAAAAAUAUUAUAAUAGUUAUAAUAAUGUUAUAUUAGUUCUUUUUUAUUUUUGACUUGGG